AGUUAGCCCAGGGAGGAAGGGGACAGAAUGACAGCAUGGUUAUAUCAAUGGUCCAAUUCUUGGUUCCAACCCUUGAUUGUCCUUCGAGAGCACCACCCAUUCCUUACAACACAUCUCUCCGCUUCAUUUUGGGAGUUUUGAAGUUAUUAAAGUUAUUGAUUUCUUUUCCUUACAACCAAAAUAAUCUAAAUUAAGAUUGUGGCCAAGUUUGGAUUAAAACCUGCCUCCCGGCUCCAAGACCCAUGUUUUUCUAUCAUGCUGACUGGCAGCAAAGACGUCUUCCCAUGGAUUUUUCAGAACUCUGUUCUUUAAAUGUGACCUUAGAUGCACCAGACUCAUGCCAUCCAAAGGUUGGAGGAGUGCAGGUGAGCUGGGGUGAACUCACGUUCACAUUGGCUACAAGUAGCUCUCAUUUGGGGACUCAGGCUGAAGAGACAACAGCUUACUGGGAACAUGCUCUUCUAUGGCAAAUGGCAGGACCGCAAGAUGCCAAACUAAACCAUAAAAGCACAUUAAAAACCUCCAUUUGUGGCCAGGCGCAGUGGCUCACGCCUGUAAUCCCAGCACUUUGGGAGGCUGAAGCAGGCAGAUUACGAGGUCAGGAGUUCAAGACCAGCCUGGACAACACCGUGAAACCCCUUCUCUACUAAAAAUACAAAAAUUAGCCAGGUGUGGUGGCACACCUCUGUAGUCCCAGCUACCCAGGAGUCUGAGGCAGGAGAAUUGCUUAAACCCGGGAGGCGGAGGUUGCAGUGAGCCGAGUGAGACUCCGUCUCAAAACAACAAGAACAACAAAAAAACUCUCCUUUUGCAUCACAUUCUUUAGCAUUUGCCCGGUUAAAUUCCAUUAGGCCAAACCCCAAGUCAAUGGGAUGGGGAUAUAUUCUCCAUCUACUCUGUACAUCAAAGGGUUUGAGUGUAUAGUCCUAUAUAGUCCUGGAGUAAAGAAUUGGGAGUGAUAAUUCAACCAAACCAUGAAUAGAAGAAUGGAUCAAUAAACUGUGGUGUAGUCAUACAAUGAAAUAUUACACAGCAAUGAAAACAAAUGGCCUAGAUCGGCAAACUAUGGCCCAUGGACCAAAUCCAGCUUGCUGCCUGUUUUUGUAAACGAGGUUGUUUUGGAAUGUGGCCACAUUCAUUCAUUUACAUAUUGUCUGUAUCUGCUUUCGCACUGUAAUGGCAGAGUUGAGCAGCUGCAACAGACUGUUGGGCCCACAAAGCUUAAAAUAUGAAAAAUCUGUCCCUUUCCAGAAAACUUUACCGAGCUCUGAUCUAGAUCUACGCAUAUCAACAUGGAUAAAUCUCACAAACAUAAUGUUACACGAAAAGACAAGUUGCAGAGGAAUGUAAACCAGAGGAUCCCAUUCACUUAAAGUUCAAAAACAUUCAAAAUAUUCAAAACGGUGCUACAUACUGCUUGUCUUAGUCCCUUUGUGCUGCGAUAACAGAAUACCACAGACUGGGGAAUUUAAGAAAAGAAAUGUAUUGGCUUGCAGUUCUGGAGGCUGGGAAAUCCAAUAUGAAGAUGCCAGCAGAUUUGGUAGUUCUGAUUUCAAGAUGGCGCCUUGAAUGCUGUGACCUCCAGAGGCGAGGAAGGCUUAGUCUUUGCAUGGUGAAAAGCGGAAUGGCAAAAGAGAGCCAGAGGGGGUUGAAUCUGCCCUUUUAUAAUGGCAUGAACCCACACAUGAGGGUGGAGCCCUCAUGGCCCAAUCACCCCUUAAAGACCCCACCUCUUAAUAUUGUUACAAUGUUAAUUAAUUUUUCAACAUGAGUUUUGGAGGAGACAAAUAUUCAAACCACAGCACGGCUAACUUUCAAACCUGUGCUGUACUAAUGGAACUCCAGAACUGACAGGAAGGUGUCACUUUCUGUUGCUGAUCUCAGCCGCCUGGAGGAUGAAAGCAGCUGUCUGGCCUGAUUCAGGGAUGGGGCUUGGCUCAGAGGAGGCAAAAGAAAGUCACAAGAUGGGCGAGGGCUUUGAGAGGCUCCUCUGGGGUGAGGUCUCCAUGUCUUUGGUUAUCAACACACAUGGUGUGGUGUGGAAGAGCAUGGACCCCAGGACUUAUAUCCAGCCCUUCCCGGCCAGCUCUCGCUGGUGGAGAGAGGGCUGCCUCCUGCCCACCUCCCUCCUCUGCCAUGUUCCUGCUCCCAGCACCUGCCUUUACCUGGGCGACUCCUGUCAUGGAAUUCUGACCUCUCCAGUCCUGCUUAGCUAAACUCCCUCCCUCGUCCGACCAAUUUCCCCCUUUUUGGGAUUCCUAUACACUGAAACCUGUACUGUUCCACUCAGCCCAACGAUGAAUGCAGCCUCAUAGAGUUCUCACAUUGUUUUGUGUGUGUGUUUUGUCUGCAGCCCCACUUCCGGCCUACAAGAGCAGACCCCCAUCUCCUCCUGUGUGCCAAGAAGCCCACAGGGCGAGGGCCCCCACUGAUGCUCAGUAAACCCUCAUGGGGAGAGGGAAAUGUGCUGUCAUUUCCAUGAGACAUGUGCAGCGACUAGCGUUUCUUUUGGGCUUCCCACCAAGUGGCACUUGCCUACCCCCCCAAUCCCCGCGUUUCUUCUGAUGGGAAACACACGCUUUCACCUGUGCUGUCACAUUCCACCCUCCAAGAACCCUGGCAAGUGGGUGCUUUAUUGCCGCUUUCCAGAUGAGCACACUGCCUCCCCGAGAAAGGCAGGAGCCUGCCUAGAGCUGCACAGUCAGUCGGAGGCACAGCGGGUCAG
rnacentral:lncRNA from 1 species